UUCUUACUCCCUCCGUUCGGAAUUACUUGUCACAGAAACGGAUGUAUCUAGACGUAUUUUAGUUCUAGAUAUAUCUAUUUUCGAGACAAAUAAUUCCGAACGGAGGGAGUACAUC
rfam:Triticum aestivum genome assembly, contig: Triticum_aestivum_CS42_TGACv1_scaffold_032466_1BL